UACGUAGGAGGCGAGCGUUGUCCGGAGUUACUGGGCGUAAAGGGUGCGCAGGCGGUGGUGCGCGUGGAUAGAUGAAAUCUCCUGGCUUACCUGGGAGGAUGGUAUCCAGACGGCAUCACUUGAGGGUCGGAGAGGGGCGUGGAAUUCCGGGUGGAGCGGUGGAAUGCGUAGAGAUCCGGAGGAACACCGACGGCGUAGGCAGCGCCCUGGACGACACCUGACGCUGAGGCACGAAAGCUGGGGGAGCAAACAGG
rnacentral:rRNA from 1 species